GAUGAACGCUGGCGGCGUGCCUAAUACAUGCAAGUCGAGCGAACAGACGAGGAGCUUGCUUCUCUGACGUUAGCGGCGGACGGGUGAGUAACACGUGGAUAACCUACCUAUAAGACUGGGAUAACUUCGGGAAACCGGAGCUAAUACCGGAUAAUAUAUUGAACCGCAUGGUUCAAUAGUGAAAGACGGUUUUGCUGUCACUUAUAGAUGGAUCCGCGCCGCAUUAGCUAGUUGGUAAGGUAACGGCUUACCAAGGCAACGAUGCGUAGCCGACCUGAGAGGGUGAUCGGCCACACUGGAACUGAGACACGGUCCAGACUCCUACGGGAGGCAGCAGUAGGGAAUCUUCCGCAAUGGGCGAAAGCCUGACGGAGCAACGCCGCGUGAGUGAUGAAGGUCUUCGGAUCGUAAAACUCUGUUAUUAGGGAAGAACAAAUGUGUAAGUAACUAUGCACGUCUUGACGGUACCUAAGCAGAAAGCCACGGCUAACUACGU
rnacentral:rRNA from 1 species